AUUGAACGCUGGCGGCAGGCCUAACACAUGCAAGUCGAGCGAGAGGCGGACGGGGGUGGAUUGUAUGGGGACUGCGCGAGAGAGGGGGAUAACUCCUGGGAAAGGUGUCUCAUACCGCAUACUAUCGGAUAACCCAUAUGGGAGUAGCUAGUAGGUGGGGUAACGUCUCACCAAGGAGACGAUCCCUAGCUGGUCUCAGAGGAUGAUCAGCCACACUGGAACUGAGACACGGCCCAGACUCCUACGGAGGCAGCAGUGGGGAAUAUUGCACAAUGGGCGCAAGCCUGAUGCAGCCAUGCCGCGUGUAUGAAGAAGGCCCUCGGGUUGUAAAGUACUUUCAGUCGGGAGGCGUUACCGACAGAAGAAGCACCGGCUAACUCCGUGCCAGCAGCCGCGGUAAUUC
rnacentral:rRNA from 1 species